GACGAACGCUGGCGGCGUGCUUAACACAUGCAAGUCGAACGGAGAGGCCUGCUUGACCGUGUGGAUGGCGAGUACGCGAGUGACGAACGGGUGAGUAACACGUGAGUGAGCGGCCACCAACUGGAGUAUAAGCCUGGGAAACUGGGUCUAAUUCCCGAGAAGACUGCAGGGUGGAGCGGGUGUUGGAAAACGAUUGUGUAGGGGGUGGGGAUGAGCGCGCGGGCUUUCAGCGUGUUGGUGGGGUAAUGGCCUAACAAGGCUGCGACGGGUAGCCGGCCUGGGAGAGCGGACCGCCACAGUGGGACUGCCACACGGCCCCUGCGCCUCCGCGCGGCAGCCGUCGGGAGUCUGCCGCGAUGAGUGGAACCCUGAUGCCGCAACGCCGCCUGGGCGAUGCCGGGCUUCGGAUUGUGACCUCCUUUCGACCGCGAUGAUGCCACCUGGUUGGAGCGGUGGUGACGGUAGUGGUAGAAGAAGCACCGGCUAACUACGUG
rnacentral:rRNA from 1 species